rnacentral:rRNA from 1 species
CUACGGGGGGCUGCAGUGGGGAAUAUUGCACAAUGGAGGAAACUCUGAUGCAGCAACGCCGCGUGGAGGACGACACUUUUCGGAGCGUAAACUCCUUUUAUAUAGGAAGAAGAUGACGGUACUAUAUGAAUAAGCGCCGGCUACACUCCGUGCCAGCAGCCGCGGUAAUACGGAGGGCGCAAGCGUUACUCGGAAUCACUGGGCGUAAAGAGCGUGUAGGCGGAUUAAAAAGUCAGAAGUGAAAUCCUAUAGCUUAACUAUAGAACUGCUUCUGAAACUCUUAAUCUAGAAUAUGGGAGAGGUAGAUGGAAUUUCUGGUGUAGGGGUAAAAUCCGUAGAGAUCAGAAGGAAUACCGAUUGCGAAGGCGAUCUACUAGAACAUUAUUGACGCUGAGACGCGAAAGCGUGGGGAGCAAACAGGAUUAGAUACCCUUGUAGUC